UACAGAGGUCUCAAGCGUUGUUCGGAUUCAUUGGGCGUAAAGGGUGCGUAGGUGGCGUCGUAAGUCAGGUGUGAAAUCUCGGGGCUCAACCCCGAAACUGCACUUGAUACUGCGAUGCUCUAGUACUGGAGAGGAGAUUGGAAUUUACGGUGUAGCAGUGAAAUGCGUAGAUAUCGUAAGGAAGACCAGUGGCGAAGGCGAAUCUCUGGACAGUUACUGACACUGAGGCACGACAGCGUGGGGAGCAAACAGG
rnacentral:rRNA from 1 species